rnacentral:rRNA from 1 species
ACCACUUAAAUUUGAUGGCACUAGUAAACAUUAAGCAUGUUUAAAUAUGGAAUUUGCUGAAGAAUAUUUCCAGUUUAAAAUAUUAAAUAAUGUGUGAAAAUACAAUUUAGACAGCUUAUUAACCUAGGUAAAUUAGGUGCCAGCAACCGCGGUCAUACCUGUAUAGGUUAGUUUACACUAAUAAUAAGUAAGUACGGUUUAUUUUAAAAUAAAAUAUUAAGUGGUGAAAUACUAUUAUAUACAUAUAUUACUACUAAAAUUUAUUAAAACAAAAUCCAUAACUAAAACUAGGAUUAGAGACCCUACUAUUAUGGGCCUAAUUAUUAAAUUUACUAAGGAGUAAAACUUAAAAUUAAAACUUAAAAGUUAUGGCGGCUAAUCAAAACAAUUAGGGGAACUUACCAUAUAAUUGAUAACCACCAAGUAAAUUAUACUUACUAUUAAAAUUUGUAUACCGUUGUCUCCAUGAACCCCCUAUAGAGGGUUCAAAAUUUUUUUCCUAUCUUAAGAUAAAUCAAGGUGCAGUCAAUUAGUAAGAAGUAAGGUGAGUUACAAUAAUUAUUUUUUUCGAAAUAUAAAAUGAAAUUAUAUACGAAGAUGGACUUAAAAGUAUUAUUUAAAGUAAAUAAAUAUAAUAAGAAUGAAUAUUGUUUAGUGCA